rfam:Paenibacillus polymyxa SC2 plasmid pSC2, complete sequence.
GCCUGUAUGGUGGAAUGGCAGACACGCUCCGCUUAGGACGGAGUGCGGUAACGCGUGGGGGUUCAAGUCCCUCUACAGGUA